rnacentral:rRNA from 1 species
UACGAAGGGGGCGAGCGUUGUUCGGAUUUACUGGGCGUAAAGCGUGCGCAGGCGGUUCGUUGUGUCGGCGGUGAAAUCCCCGGGCUCAACCUGGGAAUGGCCGUUGAAACUGGCGAACUGGAGUGUGGCAGAGGGGGGUGGAAUUCCGCGUGUAGCAGUGAAAUGCGUAGAGAUGCGGAGGAACACCGAUGGCGAAGGCAGCCCCCUGGGCUGACACUGACGCUCAGGCACGAAAGCGUGGGGAGCAAACAGG